GAGGRMAAGYCUGGUGCCAGCAGCCGCGGUAAUACCRGCUCCAAUAGCGUAUAUUAAAGUUGUUGCAGUUAAAAAGCUCGUAGUUGGACUUGUGUGCGCCUGCAUUCUGCGGUCACUUCCCAAAAGGGUUGUCCGACAUGCGGUGCAGGCGCCGUCAAACCUUCAACUGGAUCGCGUCUGGGCUUCAUUGUCUGGGCGCUGUCAUUCGGUUGAUCAUUUACUGUGAGAAAAUUAGAGUGUUCAAGGCAGGCAUUAUYGCAAUUGAAUAUGUUAGCAUGGAAUAAUAAGAUAAGGCUUUCGUAUUUUGUUGGUUUCUAGAUCGGAAGUAAGGAUUGAGAGGGACGGUCGGUG
rnacentral:rRNA from 1 species